rnacentral:tRNA from 1 species
AAGGGUAUAGCUCAGUGGCAGAGUGCUUGCUUAGCAGGCAUGAGGUCCUGGGUUCAAUCCCCAGUACCUCCA